rnacentral:rRNA from 1 species
UACGGGGGGGGCAAGCGUUGUUCGGAAUUACUGGGCGUAAAGGGCUCGUAGGUGGCCAACUAAGUCAGACGUGAAAUCCCUCAGCUUAACCGGGGAACUGCAUCUGAUACUGGAUGGCUUGAGUUUGGGAGAGGGAUGCGGAAUUCCAGGUGUAGCGGUGAAAUGCGUAGAUAUCUGGAGGAACACCGGUGGCGAAGGCGGCAUCCUGGACCAACACUGACGCUGAGGAGCGAAAGCCAGGGGAGCAAACGGG